AAAGUUCGUUGAGGUCGGACGCGUUUGUUCUCGCAUCCGGAUUUUCGGGUUUCGUUGUGGCUCUGGGCUCCUCUGGUGCACCGAACUGCUGUGAAUGUGUUAUUCUGCUCUACAGGUGAUGCCUGGACGUGCUUUCUUGUGUGCGUGUUGGAAGAUACGUCCCGAAGCCCUUAGAUAUGGUGAAGCAAAGGGUGAAGAUGUCACAUGUGAUGCCCCAGCGGCCCUGCUACUUACGGCGAAUUUGUGAAUUUCAGAUGCUUUUCACGGAUCGAUUUUCGUGAACAACGCAGAUGAGCCAGCACACACACGACGUGGGAAAAUGAACAGAUACGUCACGGAAAUGUUGAAAGACAUCAAAUGAGGCAUACGCCUCACCCAUGCAACUCCGUCAUCUGCUCCACGGCAGUGCAAGCCUUUACAGCUGUGUCUUUGAAUGUAAAAAUUGUGAAUGGUAUUAAUAAAUAAAGGGAAGUAGACAGUA